rnacentral:rRNA from 1 species
AACGAACGCUGGCAGCGUGUUUAAGACAUGCAAGUCGCACGGGAUAAGACAUGUAGUAAUACUUGUUUUAUUUAGUGGCGCACGGGUGAGUAACACGUGAAUUACAUGCCCUAUAGUGGGGAAUAGCACAGGGAAACUCGGAUUAAUACCCCAUGGUAUCGAAAGAUUAAAGGUGGCCGCAAGGCUGUCGCUAUAGGAUUGGUUCGCGCCCUAUCAGCUUGUUGGUGAGGUAACGGCUCACCAAGGCAAUGACGGGUACCUGGUCUGAGAGGACGAUCAGGCACACUGGAACUGAGACACGGUCCAGACACCUACGGGUGGCAGCAGUCGAGAAUAAUUCACAAUGGGGGCAACCCUGAUGGUGCAACGCCGCGUGGAGGAUGACGGUCUUCGGAUUGUAAACUCCUGUCAUCUGGGAGAAAGACCUGACGGUAAAUAGCCGGCAGGGUUGAUAGUACCAGAAGAGGAAGGGACGGCUAACUUCGUGCCAGCAGCCGCGGUAA